rnacentral:lncRNA from 1 species
CACCUACAGAGAGUGAAGAAAACUUUUCAGUAAAGCAGAUCUAAUAACUAGCUACUAAUUCGUCUGUCUAAAGAAACAAGGAGAGCACCCCUUAUGUGAUAAUGAGGCUAAGCUUACCAUCACGUGGAAUAGCAUGAGUAACAUAAUAAUGAACAAUAAUGUUGAAUCCUUGCCAGUUUCAAGGGGUACACAGUAGAAACUACUGGUCUUAUAUAAGAAAUAGAUAUAGUAAACCCAUGUGUGAGCUUAUAGAUAACCUUCAUAUUUCAGAGAAACAUUGGAAAGAGGAGAAUUGGGAUUCCCGUCAUCUUGCUGAACAAUAGUAUAAAGCCGCAAUCAGAAAGUUCAAGAGAUUCUCCAAGGUUUCAUAUAAGGAUACAGAUAUAAAUUAUCUGAACAAUAGUAUAAAGCUGCAAUGAGAAAGGUCAAGAGAUUCUCCAAGGUUUCAUAUAAGGAUACAGAUAUAAAUUAUCUGAAGCACACGUAAUCAUUUAGUUUCUUCUGACAGAACUCCCAUAAAAAUAGCAUUCUUCUCCAUCUCGGAAAUAUCUUGAAGAUACAAGUAAAGACUACAAAUAAAGAGAGUACCAUAAUCCCCACGAAAUUCAUAAGCCAUAAGCUGCAGAAGCAGCAAAUAGAAAGGACGCAUGUUCACCAAACCAUCUUGUGUCUUAACUCUAUAGAAGAAGAUAUAUUCCAGAACUACGUAACGCUGAUGAUCCAUCAUAGCAUAUCGAAGAUGCAACAUAAUGACAAGGUUCCCCACAGAAAUACCACAAUAGGAAUUUGCUUCAAUAUAAACCACCAGGGACAAUCCAUACUGAAUCAAUACGAUAACCUUGCUCGUCGACAUGAACUUGGGAAUUUUCAUACGCCUUGAUAUUCUGACAACGCUACAUGUCUCUCAAGAAGAGAUUUUGAUAGCAGCCCUAACCACUGAAUGACUAAAUCUGCAAUCAUUCUGGAAUAGUACUUUUAACUCCCGACUCCCGAGUCUGUAAACAUACAUGCUCCCAUUUGCUCCAUCGAACGAAAAAUAAUAUAUUAUCCGAAUUGCAGACACAUCAUUGUUUCAAACAUGGGAAGGAUUGCAUUAGAUGAUCAUAAAACAGAAGACAAUUUCAACAUAGAGAGAGAGAGAGAGAGAGAGAGAGAGAGAGAGAGAGCAAUUAAUCACUUGAAUUCAUUCAAGUAAACAGAAUUCAUUAAAAUUAUAGUAAAUUAUGUAGUUUCAAAGAAAAAUAUGCAAACAUAUGACUUAAAAUCUACAAAAAUUACUAUAAAUUAUCAAAAUUUGACAGUAAAUUAUAAUUCUGUGCAACCCCAAUACAGUUACAAGUUCAACUUCAACCCAAAAAUUAAAAAAUUAAAUUAAAAAAAAAAACCCACUUUCAUAAGAUAAGCAGAGCUUCAGAGUAGGUCACUGAAGAGAAAAAACCAACGUGAAGCAAAUAUUAAUAUUACCGUGAAAGGAUCCGCCCGAGAAGCGACGGAGCUCCACCUCCCCGUGAGCAAACGAGCAGCUCUGCCGCGCGCACCGCCCUCUCUGAUACAAAACGCAUAGCUUCGUCUUGAACAGCUUCCUAUCCGCCAUCUCCCCAAUCAGAAUAUCGGAAGCGUAAGAGCUAAGUUGCGAGAAAGGAAGAAAGGGAAGCCUUUUAUAUAUACAUACAAUACUACUUCAUCAUU